UACGAAGGGGGCUAGCGUUGCUCGGAAUCACUGGGCGUAAAGGGUGCGUAGGCGGGUUUUUAAGUCAGAGGUGAAAUCCUGGAGCUCAACUCCAGAACUGCCUUUGAUACUGGGAAUCUUGAGUAUGGAAGAGGUGAGUGGAACUGCGAGUGUAGAGGUGAAAUUCGUAGAUAUUCGCAAGAACACCAGUGGCGAAGGCGGCUCACUGGUCCAUAACUGACGCUGAGGCACGAAAGCGUGGGGAGCAAACAGA
rnacentral:rRNA from 1 species